AUCGCUUCCGGCCUUUGGCUAAGAGCAAAGUGUUAGAUCUGUUUGAUCAGCUUAAUAUCUGAUACGUCCUCCAUUGGGGGACAUCGAUAUUAAACUGAUUUUUGAAAGGGGGUGAGGUGCCGGGCUUGCUCCGCCCAUCUACCCACCGGGGUGUGACAUCGGUAUUGAUUAGUAUUCCGGGAAUGGCCCACCACUA